CAUGCAGUCGAACGGGAUCCGGGCAGCUUGCUGCCUGGUGAGAGUGGCGAACGGGUGAGUAAUGCGUGACCAACCUGCCCCAUGCUUCGGAAUAGCUCCUGGAAACGGGUGGUAAUGCCGGAUGCUCCGCACUGUCGCAUGAUGGUGUGGGAAAGGGUUUACCGGCAUGGGAUGGGGUCGCGUCCUAUCAGCUUGUUGGCGGGGUGAUGGCCUGCCAAGGCUUCGACGGGUAGCCGGCCUGAGAGGGCGACCGGCCACAUUGGGACUGAGAUACGGCCCAGACUCCUACGGGAGGCAGCAGUGGGGAAUAUUGCACAAUGGGCGAAAGCCUGAUGCAGCGACGCCGCGUGCGGGAUGACGGCCUUCGGGUUGUAAACCGCUUUUGAUUGGGAGCAAGCGAGAGUGAGUGUACCUUUCGAAUAAGCACCGGCUAACUACGUGCCAGCAGCCGCGGUAAUACGUAGGGUGCAAGCGUUAUCCGGAUUUAUUGGGCGUAAAGAGCUCGUAGGCGGUUCGUCGCGUCUGGUGUGAAAGUCCAUCGCUUAACGGUGGAUCGGCGCCGGGUACGGGCGGACUGGAGUGCGGUAGGGGAGACUGGAAUUCCCGGUGUAACGGUGGAAUGUGUAGAUAUCGGGAAGAACACCGAUGGCGAAGGCAGGUCUCUGGGCCGUCACUGACGCUGAGGAGCGAAAGCGUGGGGAGCGAACAGGAUUAGAUACCCUGGUAGUCCACGCCGUAAACGGUGGAUGCUGGAUGUGGGGCCCGUUCCACGGGUUCCGUGUCGGAGCUAACGCGUUAAGCAUCCCGCCUGGGGAGUACGGCCGCAAGGCUAAAACUCAAAGAAAUUGACGGGGGCCCGCACAAGCGGCGGAGCAUGCGGAUUAAUUCGAUGCAACGCGAAGAACCUUACCUGGGCUUGACAUGUGCCGGACGGCCGCGGAGACGCGGCUUCCCUUCGGG
rnacentral:rRNA from 1 species